UCACUGGUCACCGCGUUAAAGUUUGGCGGUUACAAAAUCCAGCACCGGAUACAACGAAGAGG
ncrna:unclassified sequences cow-rumen-1 RNA